UUAAAAGUAGUUUGUUUUGAAACACAGUUUGAAGUAUAUGAAAUCCUUGUUUGAAACACAGUUAUAAAUCACAUGUGAUUGAUUAUAUAAUUAGCAUGUUUUCUACUUGUAUUCCCCCCCACCCAUAAAAGCAUUUAAAAUCAUUUAAAAGAUAAGUUAAGGGGUAUGAACUCACCUGAAGUGAGUGAUGCGAAUGUAAGAUCAAUAAAGGAUGCUAAGUGUCAUGUGAGGACUUAAGCACACAUGAAUCCUAUUUAACAUAUAAUGACACAUAUAUGCUUACAAUUAGUGCUUAUAACAACUAAUUAUGUAAUGGAACAACCUUAGGGACUAGGAAACACUUGUCCUGAUGUUUUAAACCACAUAGGGUUGCAUAUACGGUGUGCAGGGCCUCUCCUUGGAGUUUAUGGCCCAUAUGGUAAUAACCACAUGAGUUUACGGCGCAUGGGCUUAUGGCCCAAUGAGUUUACGGCUGUAAACUCAUGCUAGCUAAUACUAUUUCAUGUUUAAGGUCCUAUACUUCACUAGGAAGUGUUCUAGACUUAGUUCUAUGGCUUAAGAAAGUGUUGUGGCAACUUUGCACCCAAGAAUUAGGGUCUACGGCCUUGGGAGAUGCCUUGGCCGUAAAAACCCUUUUGAUCUUGUGUUCUUGAUGUUUUAAAGGUGUAAACUUAGUGAUUCAAGCAUGAAACAAGCUAAGGUAAGAGUACUUACAAUAUAGGAGCUUGAUAAGGUGAUUAAGGCUCAAGAACACUAGUGUGUGUUCUUGGUGAAAUGAAGAACACUUGAAGAUCUAACCAACAGAAGAGAUUUCAUGGAUGAAAUCAUGUGUAUUCACUAGAUAUGGAAGGAUAUCAAGUUGAAAAUGGAAAGAUUAAUUACUAGAUUGAAGAUUGGAAUGAAAGUUCUUGAUGAUAAUUGAGAGCAAAACCAAGUUCUAGGCUUGAAAGUGUGAUAAUGAAUGAAAAUGGCCAAGUAUUUAACAUAUAGGCAUGGAGUUUACGGGCAUCAUGAGCUUAUGACUGUAAAUCCAUGGUCUCAUGUCCGUAAACUCCUCAUUUGACGGUUUAAAGCAUGUUUGGUGGUUUGUAACUCUAGUUGACCCAUUCUAGUAUUUGAUCCUUUGAUGUACUAAGCUCACUAAGCUCCAACAGAUUCUAUAUAGUGCUAAAAGUUAGCAGAAUCAAGUUGGACUUUGAUUGAGGUGUAGGGUUUGUACAAGAUAUAAAUUUCGGGUUGUCACAUCAUGCCCCCGUUAGAGAUAAUUUCGUCCCGAAAUUAGAGUUUAAGCAAAUAAGUAGUUACAAAUAACUAAGUAAAAAGAUGAGGAUAUUUCAAUUUCAUUUGAUCCUCAUGCUCCCAAGUGAAUUCAGUUCCUCGCUUGGCAUUCUAGCGAACCUUCACUAUCGGGAUACAACUUUGUUUUGUUUGCUUGACCUCUCGGUCCAUGAUCUCUAUAGGUUCUUCCACAAAGUUGAGGCUCUCAAUGAUCUCGAUCUCAUCGAAUGGGAUUACAAGAGUUUCGUCGGACAAACACUUUUUCAACUUUGAGACGUGGAAAGUAGAAUGUACGUUACUGAGUUCAUGCGGUAGAUUGAGUUUGUAAGCUACAGGUUCGAUUCUAGCGAGAAUAUCGAAAGGCCCUACGUAUCUUGGAUUUAGCUUUCCAUGCUUUCUGAAGCAUAUCAAGCCCUUCCAGGGUGAGACUUUCAAAAGGACUCGGUCUCCCACCUGGAAUUCCAAAGGUUUCCUUUGCUUGUCUGUGUAGCUUUUCUAUGGGUCUCUAGAGGCUCUCAAUCGCUCACAAAUAUGAACGAUCUUCUCUGUCGUUUCCCGUAUGAUUUCCGGACCGGUGAGAGUGCUGUCAGGAACUCGUCCUUUAGCUAACUGGGUGUCACCCACCUCAGCCCAGCAGAUAGGGGAUCUGCACUUUCGGCCAUAGAGGGCCUCAAAUGGAGCAGCCUUUAUGCUCGUGUGGUAACUAUUGUUGUAGGAAAAUUCGACAAGAGGUAAAUGAGUAUCCCAUGCCUUCCCAAAGUUGAUCACACAGGAUCUCAACAUAUCUUCCAAGGUUUGGAUAGUUCUCUCACUUUUUCCGUCCGUCUGUGGGUGGUAGGCUGUACUCAUGUCCAGCCUCGUUCCUAGGGAACUUUGUAGCGACUGCCAGAACCUCGAAGUGAAUCUACUAUCUCUAUCGUAGAUAACAGAUAUAGGAACACCAUGCAGUCGUACAAUUUCUCUAAUGCAAGUUCUUGUUAGUUUCUCCAUCUCGUCAGUCUCUUUGAUUGGUAGGAAAUGCGUGGAUUUGGUCAAUCUGUCGACGAUGACCCAAAUGGUAUCAAGUCCAUCCGUCAUCUUGGGCAACUUGGUUAUGAAGUCCAAAGUAAUCCGCUCCCAUUUCCAAUCUGGUAUCUCUGGUUGCUGUAGCAAGCCUGAGGGUUUCUAGUAUUCGACCUUAACCUUUGCUUUCAUGUUACGCCACUAGUAUAACUUUUUAAGGUCCAGAUACAGCUUAUCCGAACCUGGGUGGACGGAAUAUAUAGUUUUGUGUGCUUUGGCCAUGACCAAGUCUCUGAAGCCACCGUGUCUCGGUGUCCAGAUACGAUCCAUAACAUAUAACGCUCAGCCACCCUUGCUUUCUAGGUUCUUAUCCAUCCUUCUUAGGGAUUCACCGGCCAUAUUUUCAGGUUUCAUGGCUUCUAGCUGAGCCUCCUUAAUUUCUGUAGACAAGUGUGAAUGGAUACUCAUAGUCAAUGAUUUGACUCUACGACCAGAGUAUUCUUUCCGACUUAGGGCGUCAACUACUACGUUGGCCUUUCCGGAAUGAUAACGAAUUUCGCAUUCAUAGUCAUUGAGUAGCUCGACCCACCGUCAUUGUCUCAUGUUGAGCUCUUUCUGAUCAAAGAUGUGUUGAAGGCUCUUGUGUUCCGUAAAGAUAGUUCUCUUCGUACCGUACAGAUAGUGUCUCCAGAUCUUUAGAGCAAACACAACUACUCCUAACUCAAGAUCAUGUGUGGUGUAGUUGACUUCGUGUGUCUCAAGCUAUCUUGAGGCAUAGGCGAUGACCUUACCCUGUUGCGUCAGAACACAUCCGAGCCUUUGGUUGGAUGCAUCGCAAUAGAAAACGAAGUCUUCUAUUCCUUCUGGGAGGGAUAGUAUUGGUGCGGUGCAUAAGGCUCGUUUCAGCGUUUGGAAUGCCUUCUCUUGUUUCUUUUCCCAGUCAAAGGCCAUACCUUUCUAGGUCAGUGUAGUAAGUGGCUUAGUGAUGCUAGAGAAGUUCUGUAUGAACCUGCGAUAGUAGCCAGCGAGACCUAGAGAUUGACGAAUUUUUGUAGGUGUCUUCGGUGCUAACCAGUUCUCAAUGGCCUUGAUUUUGGAAGGGUCCAUGUGAAUUCCCUCUUCACUAACAACGUGGCCCAAGAAUUCGACUCUUCGAAUCCAAAACUCGCACUUAUAGAACUUCGCAUAGAGCUUCUCCGAUCGUAAUGUUUCUAAGACUCUUCGUAGGUGUUGACUAUGCACCUCCUUACUUCGAGAGAAGAUAAGUAUGUCAUCGAUGAAGACAAUGACGAACUGAUCCAAGUAAGGAUGGCACACCCUAUUCAUUAGAUCCAUGAAUACAACUGGUGCAUUGGUUAAUCCGAACGGCAUUACUACAAACUCGUAGUGUCCAUAACGAGUUUGGAAGGCUGUCUUGGGAACAUCCUCCUCUAACACUCAUAACUAGUGAUACCCGGAUCGUAGAUCUAUAUUUGAGAAGUAGUUUGCUCCUUGAAGUUGAUCAAAUAAGGUAGAGGAUAGCGAUUCUUGACGGUAAGUUUGUUUAGCUAUCUGUAGUCGAUGCACAUACGAAACGAUCCGUCUUUCUUCUUCACGAACAAGACCGGAUCUCCAUGGUGAGAGGCUUGGCCUAAUAAAUCCCUUCUUGAGAAGUCCGUUAAGCUGACUGGAAAGUUCUUGCAUCUCUGCUGGUGCCAGACGAUAUGGAGAUUUGGCUACUGGAGUAGCCCCUGUCACUAAGUCGAUUCUGAACUCAACUUGGCGUUGCGGUGGUAAUCCCGGUAGUUCUUCUGGAAAGAUGUCGGGAAAGUCGCGUACUUCUGGAAUGUUUUCAAUGUCCUUUACUUCUUGACUCAUAUCGAUGAUGUGAGAAAGGAAUGCAUGAUAUUCCUUUCGUAAGCUCUUUUGAGCUUGAAUACACGAAAUAAUACGAAGGUUCGUACUAGAUUUGUCGCUAUAGAUAACUAGAUUUUCGUUGUUAGGGAGGUUAAGACGAACUUCUUUCUCAAAGCACAUGAUGUCGGCACGAAGAUGACUUAACCAAUCCAUGCCGAUUAUGACAUCGAAACUUUUAAUUGAGAUCGGCAUGAGGUCUAUUUGGAAAGAAUGAUCAUCUAGAGUUAGAGUACAACCAAUGUAUAUGCAGUUAGUACUUUCCAUUUUCCCAUUUUCCAUUUCUACAAUGAAUGAUUCCUCUAGUGCACAUGGUUUUUGUUUAGGUAAGCAAACAAUUUUCUGGCUUACGAAGCUUCUCUCUGCUUCGCUAUCGAAUAGUAUACAUACAUAUGAAUUAUCGAGGAGAAACAUACCAGUAACUAUCGUAGGAUCAGUUAUGGCUUCCGCAUGGCCUAUCACCAGAAUUCUUCUCACUCCGACGACAUUCCCUGCCUUCGGGCGGUCUCUCUUGAAAUGACCAAUCGUAGAAAGCCUGACCACAACAAUGUCGGGGACUUGGUUAAUUCGCCUUUCCGGAGCCUUGCAGAAUUAGGCAAUGUGCCCUUUCCUAUUGCAGUUAGCGCACUGCAUUUCCUAGCAGGCACCAUUAUGAUGGAAAGUGCAUUUGUUGCACUUGGGCAAAUUUCCAGUAUAGGCUUCCUUGGCACUAUAGCAGCAGGUACAAUCGCGACAUGAACAGCCGCAACUUGCUGCUUCUUGGCAGAGCUCUGCGCCGAUUUGCCUUUCUUGUUAUCCCAGAAAUUUCUCUUGUUGUCAUUGGCUUUGGAGGGUUCUGGGAUAGCCAAGGUUGUUGUGAUCAAUAAGGCGAUGUGAAAAUCGCUUGGAACCAUCGAAAGUAGUGCGGUUUGAAGCUAAGACAUUCCCUUGAAAUGGAGGCACUAGCCCCCAAAUGUACCUCUCAAUCUUCUUCCCCUCAGUGGGAACCAUACUGGGACAUAGCGCCACCAGAUCGUUGAAUCCGACAGUGUAAGCCACUAUGUUGGAGCCUUUCAUGGUCAGACUCCAGAGUUCUUGUUCCAUCUUUGGAACCUCGCCCCUGGGGCAUCAUUCUUCAAUCAUCAUCCCUUUAAGAGCUUCCCAGCACAUAGCAUUUGCCAUUACUAAAGUAAGUGACUUGACAUGGCUAUUACACCAUGUCAGGGCUCAAUCACUGAAUAUACAUGUAGCAAAUUUUACCUUGCUUCCUUAAGUACAGGAACAUAUCUCAAAGAUCGAUUCCGUCUUCUCGAACCAUUGCGAUAGCGCAAUGACUCCACCGAUUCCACUGAGGAUUCGGGGUUUAUAGUUGGUGAAGUCUUUAUAAGUGCACUCUCGCGAGCGCACGAUGAUGUCACAUUGUGUGGAAUGAACGAAUGUUCCACCUCUACUAGUACCCGGGUUGUUGUGGUAUAGUGUCAUUGUUAUAGCAACAGUUGCAGCUACUGCAACAUUAAGAGCUGUCGUGUCAAAUUGUGGAGGAGGUGGUGUUUGAGUUAGAAUAAUCAGAGGAUUAAGCCUUGCCGACUUGCGAGGAAGCAUCUUUCAACUAUAAGUUUAAAAGAUGAGCACAAUGAUAAGAAUUCAAUAGUGAAGUAAAUGAAUGAGUCCCAUGAACUAAAUCUCCAUUGUUCAACAACUACAUAAGAGUAUGAGUUCCAUAGAGUUCUUGAAUCACAAGAAUGAAAGUAUUUGAACAAAGGUUUCUACAAAAGAUUAGCUGACUACCAAUAUCAUUGAUAUUAAGUGUAACGCCCGGGUUUCAGGGCUAAGCAUUUUUGACAAUGUAAUAGUCUAGGUCAACUAUUUUAACUCUUUUUGAGGUAAUAAAGAGGAAAUAUUUGAGUAUUAUGUGUAUUUAUGUGCUUAUUAUUUAAUUAUAAAUGUAAAAUUAAUAAAGAAUAAAAAUAAGCGUCAAAAUUAAAGUGUGAGAGAAGCCGAUAUCUUUAUAUAAAGUUGUAGUGGUCGAAACAAGGAUUCUGGAGAUAUAAAGAACGCCGAAAUCCGAGUUAUAACGAAGAAGUUAUGACCUGUCGAAGUUUCACGACGGAACCGACACUAUACCGGGAAGCGUAAAUAGUGAAUUUAUGAUAGAGCGAGAUUUAGCCUUAGCGAUCUACACGAAAGUCGUAGAAUACGUUAAACCGAGAGCAUCCAUAAAAAGAACGCCCAAAUCUGACUUCGUAUGAGGAAGUUAUAAUUUUUCGAAGUUUCGGAUUAACAGUGUACAACCCGAAAUUCGAAUAAUAGAUCGAGCAGUUUUUAGCCGACACGACCUAAAUGGGAAUCGAAGAUCUCGUUAAUUGUAGCGUAACGAUAAAAAGACGGACGAAAACGGACGUCGGAUGAAGAAGUUGUGAAUUUUUAUCGGAUCAAUCCUGUCCCGGCCUGUUAAUAAUAUAAAUUUUCAAAAUAAAUUCAAAAUAUGCCGAUGGAGUCUAAGCGAAAGUUGUAGAGUACGUUAUCACCUUCACGUGGGUAUAAAGAACGUCGAAAACGGAGAUCGUAUGCGAAAGUUAUGAUUUUUAGAAGUCAGGAAGGAAAAUUGCAAAAUCUGCAAGGAAGUGGUGACGUGGCCAAAUCCCAGCCGUUGCUUGCUGAGCACGGCCUCGCAUCCGAUGAUCGCCACAAAACCUCACCUUACGCCCCGCGUCCGAAGCUGGGUACGCUCGACGUACUUGAUCUCGUCCGGGUCCGAGAGUGGGUGCAAGCUGGCAUCCUUAUCCAAGGAACGUGCCGCGUAGCAAAGGAGUACGCCCAACGUAGUCCGAGGCCUCGCAGGCUAUAAAAGGGGGUGAGGGUCCCCAGAAUUUUCACACAUUUUCUCAUUCUCUCUCUAUAAUCUUUCUCUCUCUAAGACACCAAACCACUCCUAAACCCUAGAUAAAACCCCUAGCACCCUAGAUAAAACCCCUAGCACCCUAAGGAAGCCCCGAGGCUCCCGGAGUCGCUAGAAAAAAGGACUUUCGGUUUCGGAAACGCUGCUCCGAGCAAAACCCGGUUUUCUUUAAAAUCCGUUGUAAGUGAGCUACACUUAGGCAAUUUUUAAUAUAGCUUUCAAAUAAUUAUAGUAAUGUUAUUAGGUCCUUAAAAUAAUUAUUUGGGCUAUUAUUAUGAGUUAUAUUGAGUGUUAUUUAACGCUUAUAUAAUAAUAAUAAUAGUCAGACUAUUAAUUUGUCACGGUUAUCGUUAGACUAAAACCUAGUGGUAUUGGUACUACGUUUUAUCGAAAGAAAAUUGUUUUGAGAGUAUCAAAACGCUGUCCGAGUGCUGAGUCACCACCUUUCAGGUGAGUGCAUAGUUACUUUCAGCUUACACAUAGAUAUGAAGUAUUUAUAUAAAUUACGUGUUGUGUGUGCAUAUUAUCUGUAUACUUGCUAUCUAUGCUGGAUGAACAAUUUUAUACACGUUUUAAAUGAUUUAAACUGUAUAUGUAUUUUAUAUCUACAAAAUGUGUUGGGUAGAACAUGGGUAGAUGUAAUAGUUGCUGUGUGAUAAAAUAAAAUAAUGAGAGGCCUCGUUAUAGAUGUUAUUGAUGAUCUAGUCAUCUAGCGGAGUAUAGAUGACAACCACGUACUAUUGUAGACAUUCCAGUGGAACACUAGGAGGCUCACAACCUGUAGGUGUUUAUUUGCACUUGUGCUCACCNGUACUCCAUCCCCCACAUGGUUGCCUUAAGGACAUUUAUUGCUAAGGAAUCCCCUUAGCAGUAGUGUCCAUCCUGAUGAUAGUCGUUAGACUAGGUCCCUUGUGUUAGAUGUUUUAGAGACGUAAAGUGAGGAUAACAGGAACGGGUAAUCGGGUUUGUUUGGUUUGAUAAAGUUAAUAAACUUAUUUAUUGUGGGUUGAAAACCCUAUGUGCUCACCAGGCUCCCAAGCCUGACCUACUCAGUUUCUUGUAUUAUAGGUAGUGGCGCAUGAGCAUAGAUGUGAUGCCUUGGGAUGAGAGAUUAAGGGAUUUUAGGCCUGUAAAUACAGAAUAAUGUAGUAAGGCCAAUUAUGUAUUGUUUAUGCUUAUGAUCUGUAUCGAACAUGACACCCUGAGUCUUUUUAAUGAAAUAAAUUUCUAUGGAAAUGCGUUUGAUAAAUCUUUAUCAUAUUUUGUUUUGGGACAAAUUCCAUAAUACUUUUAUUUAAAAUGUUACUCUGAUUUUUAAACAAAGCAUAAACAAAAUCGGUCUUUUCUGGCCAUGAAAAUGGGGAUGUCACAGUUGGUAUCAGAGCAUUAGUUUAAGCAAACUAGGAAUUUGUAGGAUUUCUAGACUUAAACUUAGAAUGCUAAGCGAUGAUUGUGUGGUGUGGGUACUAGCUUAUUUUAGGAAUUAUGCCUAAAAUGCUUUUAUGUGCUAAAUGGUUUGUGCCUGACAUGCUAUUAUUUGUUCGGAUCUAUGGUCUGUUGCCGACCGGAUCUGGAAACCUUAUGCGUUUAGGAUUCUAAACGUACGACUACGAUAUUAGAACUAGGAUGUAAACGUUUUGGAGAGAUAAGGAUGAUUUGAAAAUCAGUCCUAAAUAAAGAUCUAAAUUCACCUUAUUCGGUGUAUAGAUCAAGAUGGCAAGGACCCAUAGCAUAAACGUGAAUGCAAAUGGGAACAGAAACCAACCCCCAGUGUUUGANUUGAGCAAAUACCGGUGAUGGCAGCCGCUGCUGAGCCAAUAAAGAUGGCCAGAGUAUAAGCGAUGAUCCAGGCGAUGUUGGAUCGUCAAAUGGAGGAAAUCAUACAUUUGCUCCAACCAAAUGGGGAGGAAGCAACCAUACAGAUCGAACAACCUGAGUGGAACGAAGGGUAGACUGAGGAUGGAAACUACAGUGGAACCGUUGGUCAAGUCAACCCACCAAUAGUUCAACAAAACAACCAAGAUGACGGAGUCGAGAGACAUGGAUGCAAUUACAAGGAUUUUCUUACUUGCAAGCCAUCGAAUUUCACUGGAAAAGAAGAUCUGAUCGGGGUCAUGGAUUGGAUCUCGGAGAUGGAGUUAGCUUUCAUGACGUGCGGUUGCAGAGGAAAACUACAGACCACGUUUGCAGUGCUUCAGUUUCGAGGAGGCGCUGUAUGUUGGUGGAAUAGCUUGGGGAAGAAUUUAAUCCCCAACGAGCCCUUGCAACUGACAUGGGUAGAAUUUAUGGUGUAAUUCAAACGAAAGUACUGCUCAGCUCAAAACCUGCUCUAGCUAGAGAACCAAUUUCUAACCCUGAAGAAGGGAAGCAUGUCAAUCGAUGAAUACACGAACAAAUUCACAAAAAAGAUGGAGUUUGCCUUGCGUCUUGAUCCGGAUGAGUUGACGAAAAUCGAUAAGUACGCAGAGGGAUUUCCAUGGGAGUACGCGGUGCCAGUGCGUCAGUCACAUACUCUGGAGGCAACUAUCUGGGCUACCAAGUCUGUGGCGGAUAUGAUUAAGGGAAGAGAUGCCAGCAAAGUUGAGGUUGGCGAGAAGAGGAAAUUUGAAGGGUCUGCUAAACGCAACAAAAAGAAGAGCAAGUUCGGUUCAAAGAAGCUCAGGGGAGGAGGAAAUGAAUUGAAAUGAUGCGAGAAGUGCAAGAAGAAGCACUCGGGAAAAUGUAGCCAGGAAGUAACCUGCUACAAGUGUGGGAAAAUGGGGCACUAUGCCAAUGAGUGCACCAUCAACAAGAGGGUGUGCUAUGAGUGCCGUUAAGAAGGGCAUAUUGCUAAGGAUUGCCCAAAGAAGAAAGAUGCGGGAAGGCCCAACGUUCCACCAAAGCCGAAGGUGAGAGCCUUCCAGAUGACGCUCGAGGCUGCAAAGGAGGCAGCAGACGUCGCUUCAGGUACCUUUCUUGUAAAUGGUUUGCCUGCCAAUAUACUAUUUGAUUCCGGAGCCAACUACUCUUUCGUGUCGUGUAAAUUUGGUGGAAAACUAGCAUUACCUAUAGAAAAACUUGAUAAUGCCCUGAUUGUAGAAGUUGCCAGUGGCAAGUUAGUACCUGUUAGUAAUCGUAUUAAGAACGUAGUCAUUGACCUAAAUGGAAACGAGUUCCACGAAGAGCUAUUACCCAUAGAGGCAACAAUCUGCGCUGCCAAGUCUGUGGAGGAUAUGAUUAAGAGAAGAGUUGCCAGCAAAGUUGAGGUUGGCGAGAAGAGGAAAUUUGAAGGGUCUGCUAAACGCAACAAAAAGAAGAGCAAGUUCGGUUCAAAGAAGCUCAGGGGAGGAGGAAAUGAAUUGAAAUGGUGUGAGAAGUGCAAGAAGAAGCACUCGGGAAAAUGUAGCCAGGAAGUAACCUGCUACAAGUGUGGGAAAACGGGGCACUAUGUCAAUGAGUGCACCAUCAACAAGAGGGUGUGCUAUGAGUGCCGUUAAGAAGGGCAUAUUGCUAAGGAUUUCCCAAAGAAGAAAGAUGCGGGAAGGCCCAACGUUCCACCAAAGCCGAAGGUGAGAGCCUUCCAGAUGACGCUCGAGGCUGCAAAGGAGGCAGCAGACGUCGCUUCAGGUACCUUUCUUGUAAAUGGUUUGCCUGCCAAUAUACUAUUUGAUUCCGGAGCCAACUACUCUUUCGUGUCGUGUAAAUUUGGUGGAAAACUAGCAUUACCUAUAGAAAAACUUGAUAAUGCCCUGAUUGUAGAAGUUGCCAGUGGCAAGUUAGUACCUGUUAGUAAUCGUAUUAAGAACGUAGUCAUUGACCUAAAUGGAAACGAGUUCCACAAAGAGCUAUUACCCAUAGAGUUAAACGGUUUCGACAUCGUUUUAGGUAGGGAUUGGCUUAACGCCAACGAUGCCGAGAUAUUAUGUCGAAAGAAGAUAGUUAGGGUAAAUCCCCCUGGAAAGGAGUCAUUUAUGGUGUACGGGGACAAACAUAGAGUAAAUUCUGGAAUGAUCUCCCUGAUGAAAGCCAGAAAAUGUUUGUCUAAAGGCUGUGCAUCAUAUUUGGCAUUUGUGAUUGCUGCUAAGAAGGAACAGAAAGAGGUGCAGAAUAUACCGGUCGUAUGUGAUUAUCCGGAAGUCUUUCCCGAAGAUCUUCCCGGAUUACCACCUGAUUGGCAAGUGGAGUUUCGGAUAGACUUGUUACAAAGUACAACACCGAUAGCAAAGGCACCUUACCGAUUAUCACCGACUAAGAUGAAGGAGCUUAAUGCAACUUCAGGAGCUAUUGGACAACGGUUUCAUUCGACCAAGUUCAUCACCCUAGGGAGCUCCAGUGUUAUUCGUGAAGAAAAAGGACGGAAGUAUUAGAAUGUGUAUAGACUACCAAGAGCUGAAUAAGGCAACAAUGAAGAACAAGUAUCCCUUGCCGAGGAUUGAUGACCUAUUCGAUCAGCUGAAAGGUUCGAGCUACUUCUCAAAGAUCGAUCUUAGGUCAGGAUAUCAUCAACUGAAGGUAAGAGAGAAGGAUAUUGAGAAGACUGCAUUUAGAAUGAGAUAUGGACACUACGAGUUCUUGGUUAUGUCAUUCAGACUAACCAAUGCUCCAACAGCAUUCAUGGAUUUGAUGAAUAGGGUUUGUAAACCAUUCCUCGAUAAAUCCAUGAUAGUUUUCACUGACGACAUUCCGAUCUACUCGAAAAGCCAGGAGGAGCAUGGCAAGCAUCUAUGGGAAGUGUUAAAGAUGGAGAAGCUUUACGCUAAGUUCUCCAAAUGCGACUUUUGGAUAUGAGAAGUCCAGUUCUUGGGUCGCGUGGUUAACCAAGAAGGGAUAGUGGUUAACCCCGCAAAGAUCGAGGUUGUGAUGAAGUGGGAACGUCCGAAAAUUCCCAUAGAGAUUCGAAGCUUUCUAGGAUUAGCUGGGUAUUACCAACGAUUUAUCCAAGGCUUUUCUUCGAUAGCCUCUCCAUUGCAGCUUUCACCCACAAAGGAGCGACAUAUACGUGGAGUGAGAAACACGAUGAGGCAUUUGAGAAGCUAAAGAAGAAGUUAUAUGAAGCACCGAUACUUUCUCUACCCGAUGGAGUUGAAGACUUUCGCGGUAUAUAGUGACGCAUCUGGAGUCGGGUUGGGUUGUCUUCUGACCCAAAGAGAAAAGGUGAUAGCAGAUGCCUCUCGACAAUUGAAAGAGCAUGAAAAGAACUACCCUACUCAUGAUCUAGAGUUGGCAGCGGUAGUAUUUGCCUUAAAGAUAUGGAGACAUUACCUCUAUGACAGGAAGUGCAAGCUUUUCACUGAUCAUAAGAGUCUCCAGUAUCUCUUUAAUCAGAAAGAAUUGAACAUGAGGCAACGACGUUGGCUAGAGUUACUCAAGGACUAUGACUGUGAGAUACUCUACCACCCUGGUAAAGCAAAUGUUGUCGCUGAUGCUCUCAGUCAGAAAUUCAACCUUGAAAGGAAAAGGCCAAGAGCGUUGAGAAUCGAAGUCGUCUCGACGAUUGUGGAAAGUAUCAGGAAAGAUCAAGAAGAAGCUUUAGAUAAGAAUGACCGAAAAGAAGAAUGUUUGGGAAAAAUGUUAGUGUUCGGUACAAACAAUCGAGGAUUGAAGGUAUUCUAGGAUAGGAUUUGGGUACUUAAGAUGGGAGGAAUAAGAAACCUUCUGAUGGAAGAAGCACACAAGACCAUGUACUUGAUUCAUCCCGGUAGAACUAAAAUGUAUAGGGACCUAAGACCCUACUACUGGUGGCCGACGAUGAAGCUCGAUGUUGCGAAGUAUGUGGCCGAGUGUGUGACAUGUGCGAGAGUUAAGGCACAAUAUCAGAAAGCGUAUGAGAGUUUAGAUCCUUUACCAGUACCCAUGGGUAAAAGGGAAGACAUCACCAUGGAUUUUGUGACUAAACUGCCCAGGAUGAAGAACGGACACGAUAUGAUUUGGGUGGUCGUGGAUCGUUUCAGCAAGAGUGCACACUUCAUAGCAGCCAACUAGAAGUGGUCUAUGGAUAAGCUUGCAAAUGCUUACGUGAAGGAAAUUGUAAGACUUCACAGUGUUCCUCUUACAAUCAUAUCAGAUCGUGAUAGUGGUUUCACGUCGAGGUUUUGGAGGAGUCUACAAGAGGAGUUGGGGACAAAGUUGUGUUUGAGUACUGCUUGCCAUCCGUAAACUGAUGGUCAGAGUGAAAGAACGAUUCAAACACUGGAAGAUAUGCUGAGAGCAUGUACCCUUGAGUUCCAAGGGGACUGGGACGAGCACUUACCUCUGGUAGAAUUCUCAUACAAAAAACAGUUUCCACUCGAGCAUCAAGAUGACACCUUAUCAAGCCUUGUAUGGACAAAAGUGUUGUACGCCGUUGUUGGCUUGAAGCUGGAGAGAAGCAGUUUAUGGGCCCCGAGAUAGUCCAUGAGACUGCUGAGAAGUUGAAAGGAUUAGGGAAAGGAUGUUAGUAGCUCAGGAUCGUCAAAAGAGCUACGCUGACAAGAAAAGACAACUAAUGACUUUUGAAGUUGGGGAUUCCGUUUUGCUUAAAGUCUCACCGUGGAAGGGACUUAUAAGAUUCGAGAAACGAGGGAAGUUGAGUCCAAGGUUUAUUGGAUUGUUUAAAGUUCUUCAGAAGAUUGGGAACCAAGCUUACAAGCUGGAAUUGCCCAAAGAACUCGAUGGUAUUCAUAACACCUUCCAUGUGUGUUAUCUGAGGAAAUUCACGGGAGAAAUUCCCGACAUAAUUCCAAUCUUAGAGUUAAGGAUGGAUGAGAAUAAGAGGCUGAUCGAAGAGCUUGAGGCAAUUGUUGGCCGUAAGACUAAGAAGUUACGACGCAAUGUGGUCGACUUAGUGCUAGUCCAAUGGAAACAUUCGAAUGGGCCGAAUCUCACUUGGGAAACAAAGUAUUGUAAGCAUUUUUGACAAUGUAAUAGUCUAGGUUAACUAUUGUAACUCUUUUUGAAGUAAUAAAGACGAAAUAUUUGAGUAUUAUGUGUAUUUAUGUACUUAUUAUUUAAUUAUAAAUGUAAAAUUAAUAAAAAAUAAAAAUAAGAAUCAAAAUUAAAGUGUGAGAUAAGCCCGAUAUCUUUAUAUAAAGUUGUAGUGGUCGAAACAAGGAUUUCGGGGAUAUAAGGAACGCCAAAAUCCGAGUUAUAAUGAAGAAGUUAUGACCCGUCGAAUUUUCGCGACGAAACUGGCACAAUACCAGGAAGGGUAAAUAGUGAAUUUACAAUAGAAUGAGAUUUAGCCUUAGCAAUCUAAACGAAAGUCGUAGAAUAUGUUAAACCGAGAGCGUCCAUAAAAAGAACGCCCAAAUCUGACUUCUUAUGAGGAAGUUAUGAUUUUUCGAAGUUUCGGAUUAGUGGUGUACAACCCGAAAUUCGAAUAAUAGAUCGAGCGGGUUUUAGCCGACACGGCCUAAAUGAGAAUCGAAGAUCUCGUUAAUUGUAGCAUAACGAUAAAAAGACUGACGAAAACGGACGUCAGAUGAAGAAGUUAUGAAUUUUUAACGGAUCAAUCCUGUCCUGGCCUGUUAAUAAUAUAACUUUUAAAAUAAAGUCAAAAUUAGCCGACGGAGUCUAAAUGAAAGUUGUAGAGUACGUUCCCAGCUUCACGUGGAUAUAAAGAAUGUCGAAAACAUAGCUAGUAUGUGAAAGUUAUGAUUUUUAGAAGUCGGGAAGGAAAAUUGCGAAAUUUGCAAGGAAGUGGUGACUUGGCCAAAUCCCAGCCGUUGCUUGUUGAGCACGGCCUCACAUCUGACGAUCGCCACGAAGCCUCGCAUUACGCCCCGCGUCCAAAGCUGGGUACGCCCGGCGUACUUGAUCUUGUCUGGGUCCGAGAGUGGGUGCGAGCCAGCUGGUGCGAGUUGGCAUCCUUAUCCGAGGAACGCACCGCGUAGCCAAGGAUUACGCCCAGCGUAGUCUGAGGCCUCGCAGGCUAUAAAAGGGGGUGAGGGUCUCCAGUUUUUUCACAUAUUUUCUCAUUCUCUCUCUAAAAUCUUUCUCUCUCUAAGGUUCCAAACCACUCCUAAACCCUAGAUAUAACCCCUAGCACCCUAAGGAAGCCCCGAGGCUAAUGGAGUCCCUAGAAAAAGGGUCUUUUGGUUUCGGAAACGCUGCUCCGAGCAAAGCCCGGUUUUCUUUAAAAUCCGCUGUAAGUGAGCUAUGCUUACGCAAUUUUUAAUAUAGCUUUCAAAUAAUUAUAGUAAUGUUAUUAGGUCCUUAAAAUAAUUAUUUGGGCUAUUAUUAUGAGUUAUAUUGAGUGUUAUUUAACGGUUAUAUAAUAAUAAUAUUAGUCAGACUAUUAAUGUGUCGCGGUUAUCGUUAGACUAAAACCUAAUCGUAUUGGUACUAGGUUUUAUCGAAGGAAAAUUGUUUUGAGAGUAUCGAAACGCUGUCUGAGUGUUGAGUCAACACCUUUCAGGUGAGUGCAUAGUUAGUUUCAGCUUACACAUAGAUAUGAAGUAUUUAUAUAAAUUACGUGCUGUGUGUGCAUAUUAUCUGUAUACUUGCUAUCUAUGCUAGAUGAACAAUUUUAUACACGUUUUAAAUGAUUUAAACUGUAUAUGUAUUUUAUAUCUACAAAAUGUGUUGGGUAGAACAUGGGUAGAUGUAAUAGUUGCUGUGUGAUAAAAUAAAAUAAUGAGAGGCCUCGUUAUAGAUGUUAUUGAUGAUCCAGUCAUCUAGCGGAGUAUAGAUGACGACCACGUACUAGUGUAGACAUUCCAGUGGAACACUAGCAGGCUCGCAACCUGUAGGUGUUUAUUUGAAUUGUGUGCUCACCAGGUGUACUCCAUCCCCAACAUGGUUGCCUUAAGGACAUUUAUUUCUGAGGAAUCCCAUUAGCAGUAGUGUCCAUCCCGAUGAUAAUCCUUAGACUAGGUCCCUUGUGUUAUAUGUUUUAGGGACGUAAAGUGAGGAUAACGUGAACAAGUAAUUGGGUUUGUUUGGUUUCAUAAAGUUAAUAAACUUAUUUAUUGUGGGAUGAAAACCCUAUGUGCUCACCAGGCUCCCAAGCCUGACCCACUCAGUUUCUUGUAUUACAGCUAGUGGUGCAUGAGCAUAGAUGUGAUGUCUUGGGAUGAGAGUUUAAGGGAUUUUAGGCUUGUAAAUACAGAAUAAUAUAGUAAGGCCUAUGAUGUAUUGUUUAUGCUUAUGAUCUAUAUCGAACAUGACAUCCCGAGUCUUUUUAAUGAAAUACAUUUCUAUGGAAAUGCUUUUGAUAAAUCUUUAUCAUAUUUUUUUGGGACAAAUUCCGCAACACUUUUAUUUAAAAUGUUACUCUGAUUUUUAAACAAAGCAUAGACAAAGUCGGUCUUUUCCGGCCAUGAAAAUGGGGAUGUCACAUUAAGGAUGUAAUAAGUUUGGGGAAAAAUUGACCUAAGAGUAGGUCUUACCUCAUAUCAGAAGUAGCAAAAUUUUGACAGCUUAGAAGUCUAGUUAAAGUACUUGAAUGAGAGGAAUAUUUUACAGAAAAGUGCUUCAUAGAGCACCGAUACGAAAGGCUAUUCCUUAAACCAAAAGACAAGAUGAAUCAGACAUCUUCUACUGGCAACGGGUAUUCCUCGGGUAAACCCUCAGAUCUGCCAGUUGACGUACUACGUCUUGAAAAUGUCGCUCAUGAGCUCUUUGACGCACUCGAAGUUCUAUAACCUCAGCGCGGGAUGCAACUAGCUGUUGCUGCAGAGCCUCAUUGGUUCUUCUUGUCCUUUCCAUGGCUUCUUCGAGUCGGCGAAUGCGGACCAUGUUAACACCUGGGUUAGCUUCAAUUUCCAUGACUCGGUCGAUAGCUGCUCUACCUUGCUGAAUAUUCCGAGCUAUCCUGCAGACCAUAAUGGGCAUGACUCUGUCAACGGAGCCUCCUUCGCUAAGAUUGUAAAAGCUUUGGUUUCCAUUGAAGGGUAAUGGUUGAACCUGCUCAUCACUCCAACGAUUCAAUUUUGUCGCCCACAAGUAUGUGGGACCUUGAAAUGCUGGUCAGGGGUUGGGAUUUGGGACUUGACCUGCUUGGGGUAGGUUGUUGACUUCAGGUUUAGGGUCAGAACCAUCCGAAAAGCCUUCUACGAGGUGAUCAUCCAAAGGGAUUGGAUUGUCAUCUUCUGGCUCUUCAUCUAGCCAUCCAGCAUUGCCCUGAUUUGGGAAGUAUGGGUCUCCGGGGAUAUGGAAUCCAACCAUGAUAUCUACGUGAGAAGUAGGGGUAAAAGAACCAGCUAAUAAACGUACUAACUAAGAUAAUUAUAAGUUGAUCCUUACUAGUUACUCCAACAUUUGCGUAGUGCAUACCAGUCAUGUGUAACCAAAACAUGAUAGACCUUCGAAUAAGUGACCCUAAACCUAAGUCCACAACCAAACAAGGAACAAGGAGUAAAGCAAAGAUCAGAGAUUCUAAGUCUAUACCACCAUAGUUACAUAUAACCGUAGUGUAUCCACUCAACAACUAUUGACAUACCAAUAAACACCUAUUUAGUUCUCAAAUAAGUAAUUAUAGUAACACAAAAUACUCCUAUAGCAUUUUAAGUUUAUGUUAUGUUCUAAUGUUCUCAUUGUAGUAGUGUUGGUAAGUUUUUAGACUUGUUGAUACAUCACAACCAUUCUUGGCAUAUGCUAAUCACUUUUCGGACCAAGAUAGUUGAUCAGGCUAUGUCACUCCCAGAACUGACCAUACAUCCCUGAGCUCACUUGUGAUGUUCAACAGUCGUAAUACUCUUGUUAUGUUCUAGUAUGACACUGAUUUUAGUAAGUAUGUAGGUAUGUAAUUAUGUAUACUUUUAGUUAAGUAUUUUAGUACUUAAAAGUAUAAACUCUUGAUCAGAGUAUUUUAAUCCCGUUGUGUUUAUAGUUUGUAUAUCUUUUAUGGGUUGAUAUACUCGAUUCACAAAAACAAUGCUCUGAUACCAAUUUGUCACACCCCAAAACCAAGAAUGACGGAAACGUUAUGGGGCGGAGGACGUCAUGUAUAGUAUCAUAAUAAUGGGAAGUAGUAAAUAAACAACAACAUCAUCCAUUGCAUUAAUAGUAUAAUUUCAUACAAGUGUGUUCUUUAUUAGUAAUUAGACACCAAAAAUGAAUAAUCAAAAUAUAAGACGAGUCUUGAAGAUGCUUCGUCUUCUCAAAACCUGAUCAUCGGUACCUGUCUACUGGUGACCUGAGAAUACAAGUUAUUUUGAAAGGGUAGAUCAACAUUUAAGCUGGUGAGUUCAUAAGUAUUUGGUGUCAAUGUUUGUAUAAGUUUGAUGAAAAUGUUUGUAAUUGAUCAAUGUAAAUGUUUGAAAACUCCUAGUAAAUCCAAUAUUUUCUACUAGUAUAAAAAGUAGUCUUCUACCAAGACCGACUGUUUUGUAUAUUUGUUCCUUUGUAAAAGUGAAUGCUUUUCCUGAGUAUGACUAUCAUUACCAAAAUAUAGUUUUAUAUUACCCUUUAUGUGAGAAGAUCACAAAUUGAAUAUAGUGGGAAAUGUAUAUGUGUACUGCAGUAUUAUUUGUAUUAAUCACUGAAGUAAUAACUACCUUAAAACCAAUGGUUUAAUUAAGGCAAAAUGUGAUAUGAUUUUUACCAUACUAAUCUGACUAUAACACAACGAUGAAAGACGUCAGAAGAAAUGACAUUUGGCACCCGUAGACUUUCAAAACCCUACUGUAGCGAACAACAAAGGUGUAGGAUAGUCAAUCCAGUAUAAAUCAAUACGCAAACUCACGCUCUCCCUCCAGGAGAUUCUGUCCCUCCAGGAGAUUCUGGUUACAAAAAGUGACAUAAUGAAAUGGUCGAUGUGUCAUGAAGUAGUGUCUCACAUUAUGUUAUCUCUGAAUCUUGUUAUAGUAUACUUGUUAUAGUAAUCGUAUUCUAUGUAUAGUAUUCUCUGUUUAGUAUCAUUUGUAUAGUAUUCUCUGUUAUAGUAUUCUAUGUUAUAGUAUUCUCUAUCUAGUAUUCUCUGUUAUAGUAUUCUCUUUUAAAGUACUUGUAUAUGAUAGUAUUCUCCUAAACUGUACCUAUUAUAGUUUACUAGUAAGUGAUGUAUAUGCAUAGAUGAAAGUAUGCCUUUGCUACCCAAAGGUAUUGAACUGUUUGAAUAGAAAUUUUAUGUCUACAUAUGCAUACUUAAUAUAUAUCUAAUAUUUAGACGACCUUCGGACAACUGGCUAAUACCCUAAGUCCAAAUCCAAACAAAGAAAAGGAAAUAAAGCGGGCUAGUAGUCCUAAGUCCUUUAAACAUUAGGUUUAUAACUAUACAUAUAUAAAAUGAUUUUGACAAUAUAUAAGUUAAAAAAGGUUUUGUAAUACAUUUAAAGAGUUUUGAACAACAAAUAAAAAAUGAUUUGAUGUCAGUUUAUAAAACGAUUUAAUAGUAGUUUGUUUUGAAACACAGUUUGAAGUAUAUGAAAUCCUUAUUUGAAACACAGUUAUAAAUCACAUGUGAUUGAUUAUAUAAGUAGCAUGUUUUCUACUUGUAUUCCCCCCCCCAUAAAAGCAUUUAAAAUCAUUUAAAAUAUAAGUUAAGGGGUAUGAACUCACCUGAAGUGAGUGAUGCGAAUGUAAGAUCGGUAAAGGAUGCUAAGCGUUAAGUGAGGACUUGAGCACACACAGAUCCUAUUUAACAUAUAAUGACACAUAUAUGCUUACAAUUAGUGUUUAUAACAACUAAUUAUGUAAUGGAACAACCUUAGGGACUAGGAAACACUUGUAUUGUAGUGUUAAACCACAUAGGGUUGCAUAUAAGGGGUGUAGGGCCUCUCAUUGGAGUUUAUGGCCCAUAUGGUAAUAACCACAUGAGUUUACGGCCCAUGGGCUUAUGGCCCAAUGAGUUU
rnacentral:lncRNA from 1 species